rnacentral:rRNA from 1 species
CCUACGGGAGGCAGCAGUGGGGAAUUUUGGACAAUGGGCGCAAGCCUGAUCCAGCAAUGCCGCGUGAGUGAAGAAGGSCUUCGGGUUGUAAAGCUCUUUUGUCAGGGAAGAAACGGUGAGGGCUAAUAUCCUUUGCUAAUGACGGUACCUGAAGAAUAAGCACCGGCUAACUACGUGCCAGCAGCCGCGGUAAU